CUGCCUUUAAAUAAUAUUUUAACACUUCACACAGUCUAAGGAAAGGCAGGAAUGAAAACACAAAUCUGUGACUUUUUUUCAAAGCACCAAUUUUCUUCUGAGAGCAGGACACCAUUUAGCUGACUUGGUGGCCCAUGACAUUAGGAUAAAUUAAAUGUCAGGGUUCAAAACGUUGAUUUAUAAUUCUGAUCUGAAUAUGUGAGGGAGAUAUUCAUGAUGGCAUUGCAUGCCUGAGUUUGGAGAACACAAAUCUGUAUUUGUACCAAUGUGUAAAGCUGUGUGGUGUUCUCCAGCAGCACUCAGCAGCCUGGAAAGGAAGUGGAGAAAUAUGUGAGGUGAGGUUGAGGAGGACGGACGGAUAUGGCAAAAAAAAAAAAAAAAAAGCUCAAAGAUAGAUGAUGAAAGAGUUUGUUGAAAUGACACAUUUUUUUCUUUCCCUAAACUAGAUGAGAAAGAAAAUGAAUUGAUAAGACAGGUGAAGGGUUAGAACACAGGAAAGUUUCACAUUCAAUCUAACAUUUCACACUCAUUCUAGGAUAAUUGUGAAAUGAGAAGAAAAUUUACAGAAGAAAAAUUAGCCAGGUGUGGUGGUGGGCGCCUGUAAUCCCAGCUACUUGGGGGCCGAGGCAAGAGAAACACUUGAACCCAGGAGGCGGAGGUUGCAGUGAGCCAAGAUUGUGUCACUGUACUCCAGCCUGGGCGACAGAGUGAGACACUGUCUCAAUAAAAGAAAAAAAAGAAAACCCUGUCCCUGAUAAAUCACAUGAGGUACUUAACAAGGCAUUUUAGAGUCCUUUUGGUCAUGGUUCAUUUAGGCGGAAAGGUUGAUAGGUAAGCAUCUAACAAGAAAAUAAUUAAACUGGAGUGGAGGGUAGGGAGAUAUAUAAG
rnacentral:lncRNA from 10 species